CCCUAGCCCCGAUUGCAACGGCAUCCUUUUUUUGUUUUGUAGAAAUUUUAUUUUUAUGACUGAACCUUCUAAACAAAAAAAGAUAUAGUGGAAAGCGGGAAUAGCU
rnacentral:sRNA from 1 species